AUUGAACGCUGGCGGCAGGCCUAACACAUGCAAGUCGAGCGGAUGAGAGGAGCUUGCUUCUCGAUUCAGCGGCGGACGGGUGAGUAAUGCCUAGGAAUCUGCCUGGUAGUGGGGGACAACGUUUCGAAAGGAACGCUAAUACCACAUACGUCCUACGGGAGAAAGCAGGGGACCUUCGGGCCUUGCGCUAUCAGAUGAGCCUAGGUCGGAUUAGCUAGUUGGUGAGGUAAUGGCUCACCAAGGCGACGCUCCGUAACUGGUCUGAGAGGAUGAUCAGUCACACUGGAACUGAGACACGGUCCAGACUCCUACGGGAGGCAGCAGUGGGGAAUAUUGGACAAUGGGCGAAAGCCUGAUCCAGCCAUGCCGCGUGUGUGAAGAAGGUCUUCGGAUUGUAAAGCACUUUAAGUUGGGAGGAAGGGUUGUAGAUUAAUACUCUGCAAUUUUGACGUUACCGACAGAAUAAGCACCGGCUAACUCUGUGCCAGCCGCCGCGGUAAAAC
rnacentral:rRNA from 1 species